CUACGGGGCGCACCAGUUAGGAAUAAUCUACAAUGCGCGCAAGCGUGAUAGUUUGAGUCGGAGUGCGUUCCAACUUGGAAUGCUUUUGCCAAGUCUAAAAAGCUUGGCGAAUAAGGACUGGGUAAGACGAGCUGCCAGCCGCCGCGGUAAUACUCGCGGUCCAAGUCGCAGCCAUUUUUAUUGGGUCUAAAACAUCCGUAGCUUGCUUCUUAAGUUCCCUGUGAAAUCCUAUAUCUUAAAUGUAGGGCGGGCAGGGAGUACUGGGGAGCUAGAGACUGGAAGACGCAACGAGUACGUUCAAAGUAGCGGUAAAAUGUUUUAAUCUUGGACGGACUAACAAUAGCGAAGGCACGUUGCGAGGACAGUUCUGACAGUAAGGGAUGAAGGCCAGGGGCGCAAAACGGAUUAGAUACCCCAGUAGUC
rnacentral:rRNA from 1 species